CUCGACCUCAAAUCAGGUAGGAAUACCCGCUGAACUUAAGCAUAUCAAUAAGCGGAGGAAAGGAAACCAACAGGGAUUGCCUCAGUAGCGGCGAGUGAAGCGGCAAGAGCUCAGAUUUGAAACCGUGCUUUGCGGCACGAGUUGUAGAUUGCAGGUUGGAGUCUGUGUGGAAGGCGGUGUCCAAGUCUCUUGGAACAGGGCGCCCAGGAGGGUGAGAGCCCCGUGGGAUGCCGGCGGAAGCAGUGAGGCCCUUCUGACGAGUC
rnacentral:rRNA from 1 species